GAUGCAAAAGUGUAGUAAUUCCCUAUGAACAUGAUAUCUACCCCUUUCCAUGCAUGAUUGAGCCUCCCUUUUAACUAUUACCCAGAAGUAUAUUACAAUGUUAUUACAACCCAGAAUGAAUAAGAAAAGCAAAAUUACAUCAGAAAUUAAAGUACAACCAAGGGGAGCCUAAUUUAUACUCCAGGUCUGAAAUAUGAGAUGAAACUACUCCAAAGAUCAGGAUCCAAAGCCUUUCUCUCAUUUGGAUGUGUUAGAGUUUCCUAAGAGCCUCAAAUGGACACUGGGAAGUGCUCACACCCAAACACAUACAUGAUUAAGAACAUAGUACAGUGUGACAGGGUAAGCCCUCAAGUAUCCAAGUUCAAAUGGAACUCAAGGUCCUAAGGCAAGGCUUACAGGAGGGGAGAAAAACUUAGAAGCUAAGAUUUAGUGUAAGUGCAGAGUUUAAAAGGGUAAGGGGAAGUGGUAAAGAAGAAAGGACAGGCUAGUGGGCAUACCCAGCAAUAAGGGAUGCUAGCACACCCAACAAGCCUAUUAGAACAUAUUGUUUUCGGAGUCAGAAUCCCCUAAGGGAUCAAGUCCAAACAUGAACAAUAUCUUGUAUAUUGCCAUGUCCUGAACUAAAACUCAAAGCAUAUAAAAGGGAUCGGGUGCAGGGAUUCAUAGCAGAAGCAGGCAAAAAAAAAAUUAACAUACUAGUUUUAAACAUUUAACUCCACACAGACAAUAAAGUAUACAUGAAUGUAAAAGCUGUAAGUAAACAUAUUGGGAUGAUGCUGAAAGCCAAAACUAGAACAUACUUGUUUCAAGGAAACAAUCAAGAUAAAAGAAGUAGUCUUGUAAAGGCAAAGUGCAAGCAAGCAGUCAAGAUGCUAUGAGUUUAGAAGAGAACUGUGAGAUUAUAAGUGUCUCAAGUAUGAAAUGUGUAAAAAUGUUGAACGGAAGGUGUGUUAAAGUGCAGAAGGGCCGUGCCCUUUUAUAAUGUAGAAUGUAAGAACAAAUAGGAAAGAAAAUAGUUUGGAAAUUAAUUACACAAGGUCUCCCUUUAAUUAAGGGAUUCUGAUUUCAAACAAGAAAACUAACUAAGGAAAGAGAUUAAUCAAAAAAUUUUCAAAGAAGUAUAAGAGGGGUAAAUCCAUAAAGGUCUAUUUAAGUACAAUGUCUUGACAAUACACGGUUUGUGUAAACAAGGAAAAGAAAUCAGUUAACAUCCAAAAAAAUCAAAAAUUGAAGUUUUUGUAUGAAUGAACCAAGUUAGAAAUAUGCGAGAUAUUUUAACUUAAGGCAAAUCAGUACCCAUCAACUAGACUUAUUAAAAGGAAUUCUGAAUCAAUCACAAGUUGGAAACCCAUUUGAACAAAGAUUAAUCACAUCUAAAAGAAUGUAGACCAUUUAAACAAGAAAGAACUAUCAUGCUACUCAAUAGACGAGUUUAGUGCUGGAGAAUCAGGAUUGAGUGCAAACAAGAAAAAUUCACACUUAGUUCAUAGACUCAGAAAUAAAUCUGAAAGAGUCAAGGGUUCUGUAACAGAACCCUAGUUCGAUCAUAUGACCAAACUCGGAGGAAGCCUCCCAAAUUCCAGGGUUUCUGAUUUGAGUCAGGUAUAGAGAUGAGGAGGCAACAGGCUCAGAGAUUUCUUUUUAUAAUCUCAUGAGAAUACAAGCAAAUAGAUAAUUCAAAGCAGACAGAGUGAAGGAACUAACUCGAAGGAAAUAUGAGAGAAUUAGCAUAGUAGUAGAAGAAACACAAUUAAGAAAAAUCUUUUAGAAAGGACUUAAACAUGGUUUAGUGGAAGAGAAAAAAAUAACACUUGAGAACACAAUAGAAGAUAUAGUAGAAAAAAGUACUUUUCAGAAGGAACAUAGACAAGGUUCAGAAGGGAACAUUGAUAGUGUAACACUUAAGAAAACAGUAGAAGAAACAUGUUUAGAGAGAACUCAAACAAGGUUCAAUAGAAGGAAAACAAAGAACUUAAGAAAUUAGUAGAAAAUAUAGUAGAAGAACAUAGAAAAACAUAGCAAGAUAAACAUGUGAUAACAUAGUAUAGAAAUACAGUAGGAAGUCGAAAUAUAGAAAGAAUAGAAGAACAUGUAAGCAAGAAGAAGAAGCACAUGCAUGGUAAAAAAAACAUAUAGUAACAGUGAAAACAAAUACACAGAAAGAAAGUAUAGAAAAGUCAGAUAAACAUUUUAAACCUUUCAAAAAACCCUAAAUUGAAGAGAAGUGAUUUGAAAAGAUAAUUCUUUUUGAAAGAAAAAUUGAGAAAAACCUUUAAAAACUCAAGUAAAGCACAGAUAUAUAACAGAUCUAAGAACAAAUCAGAGAAAACCUCAAAUUGGUAGGGUUUCAGGGGAACCCUAAAAUGAGAUAAGCUUUCCAAAGGUACGAUCUGAGUUGGAGAAGGUUAGAACCGGGCUCAAAACACAAUAGUUUGGGGGAGUAGGGUCGAAGAUGGCCAUAGAACCUUGGAUUGACGAAGAUCUGAACGGACACCUUUGAGUUCAGGCCUCGAACCUUCGAAUACAAAGUGUUAAGAGUAGAUGGAGAUGAAUUUAAGCCCUUCAUGGCCUGAAAGGACAUGGAUUCCGGUAAGAUUAAGGUUGAAGAUUGUGAGAGAGGCUAGGGUUUUGAGAGAGUUUGAGAGGAGAAGAAUUUCAGAGGCAGCUG
rnacentral:lncRNA from 1 species